rnacentral:rRNA from 1 species
GAUGAACGCUGGCGGCGUGCUUAACACAUGCAAGUCGAACGGGGAUUACACGGCGAUGCGAUUUCGGUCAAAUCAAGUGCAAUCUUAGUGGCGGACGGGUGAGUAACGCGUGGGUAACCUGCCUUGCACUGGGGGAUAACACUUAGAAAUAGGUGCUAAUACCGCAUAAGCGCACGGUCCUGCAUGGGACAGUGUGAAAAACUCCGGUGGUGCAAGAUGGACCCGCGUCUGAUUAGCUGGUUGGCGGGGUAAAGGCCCACCAAGGCGACGAUCAGUAGCCGGCCUGAGAGGGUGGACGGCCACAUUGGGACUGAGACACGGCCCAAACUCCUACGGGAGGCAGCAGUGGGGGAUAUUGGACAAUGGGGGGAACCCUGAUCCAGCGACGCCGCGUGAGUGAAGAAGUAUUUCGGUAUGUAAAGCUCUGUCAGCAGGGAAGAAAGCAAUGACGGUACCUGACCAAGAAGCCCCGGCUAACUACGUGCCAGCAGCCGCGGUAAUACGUAGGGGGCAAGCGUUAUCCGGAAUUACUGGGUGUAAAGGGAGCGUAGACGGCUGUGCAAGUCUGGAGUGAAAGGCGGGGGCCCAACCCCCGGACUGCUCUGGAAACUGUAUGGCUGGAGUGCAGGAGAGGUAAGCGGAAUUCCUAGUGUUGCGGUGAAAUGCGUAGAUAUUAGGAGGAACACCAGUGGCGAAGGCGGCUUACUGGACUGUAACUGACGUUGAGGCUCGAAAGCGUGGGGAGCAAACAGGAUUAGAUACCCUGGUAGUCCACGCCGUAAACGAUGAUUACUAGGUGUCGGUGGGUAUGGACCCACCGGUGCCGCAGCAAACGCAGUAAGUAAUCCACCUGGGGAGUACGUUCGCAAGAAUGAAACUCAAAGGAAUUGACGGGGACCCGCACAAGCGGUGGAGCAUGUGGUUUAAUCCGAAGCAACGCGAAGAGCGCGGGCCAAAAAAAAACAUCUGGAUGACAGGGACGUAACGGUCCCCUUACUUCGGUACAUCCAAGACAGGUGGUGCAUGGUUGUCGUCAGCUCGUGUCGCGAGAUGUUGGGUUAAGUCCCGCAACGAGCGCAACCCUUAUCCUUAGUAGCCAGCGGGCAGGGCCGGGCACUCUAGGGAGACUGCCGGGGAUAACCCGGAGGAAGGUGGGGAUGACGUCAAAUCAUCAUGCCCCUUAUGAUUUGGGCUACACACGUGCUACAAUGGCGUAAACAGAGGG